rfam:Oryza sativa (indica cultivar-group) chromosome 9, whole genome shotgun sequence.
AAUAAGUGCAGUUUUGCACUAUUCACGUUCAACGUUUGACCGUUUGUUUUAUUUAAAUUUUUUUAUGAUUGGUAUUUUUACUGCUAUUAGAUGAUAAAACAUGAAUAGUACUUUAUGUAUGAAUAAAUAUUUUUAAUUUUUUCAUAAUUUUUUUAAAUAAAACGGACGGUCAAAUGUUGGACACUGAUAUCCACGGCUACAUUUAUU